rnacentral:rRNA from 1 species
AACGCGAAGAACCUUACCUGGCCUUGACAUCCUAGGAAUCCCGAAGAGAUUUGGGAGUGCCGCAAGGAGCCUAGAGACAGGUGCUGCAUGGCUGUCGUCAGCUCGUGUCGUGAGAUGUUGGGUUAAGUCCCGCAACGAGCGCAACCCUUGUCCUUAGUUGCCAGCAUUUAGUUGGGCACUCUAAGGAGACCGCCGGUGACAAACCGGAGGAAGGUGGGGAUGAUGUCAAGUCAUCAUGGCCUUUAUGUCCAGGGCUACACACGUGCUACAAUGGGCGGUACAAAGCGCUGCAAACCCGCGAGGGGGAGCCAAUCGCAAAAAACCGUCCUCAGUUCGGAUCGCAGGCUGCAACUCGCCUGCGUGAAGCUGGAAUCGCUAGUAAUGGCGCAUCAGAACGGCGCCGUGAAUACGUUCCCGGGCCUUGUACACACCGCGCAUA